rnacentral:lncRNA from 1 species
AUUCCCAAUCCAAUCCCCAAAACAUUUACUUACCACCCACUAUGUGGAAAGAAAGCACUGUGACCUGGAGGGUAGGAGAAGCAGCGCAAGCAGCUGAGUCUAGCAGCAGGACCACCAGAAACUAGAGCCAUUCUUCACGAUGCUGCCAGCCAGGGAACGGAGUGAGCCCAUGAGCUCCGACCCAGCAUGGGCAGCACCUUCCACAAAGGGUGCCUCAUUUGAUCUUCACAACACCCCUAUCGGGUAGAUACUAUCAUGCCUAUUUUAAGAUGUGGAAACUGGAGCCCAAGAUCACACAGCUAUCAAGUUAUAAAGCUGACAUUUAACCUGGACUCUGACCACUAAUAAUCUGAUCUGCGUGUUCACUGAUCAGAAACAGACAAAAUGACAUAUAAGAAAUUGAUAUUGGCCGGGCACAGUGGCUCACACUUGUAAUCCCAGCAUUUUGGGAGGCCAAGGUGAGAGGAUCGCUUGAAGCCAGGAAUUUGAGAUCAGCCUGGGCAAUAUAAUGAAACUGUGUCUCUACAAAAGGUAAAAAAUAACAUUAGCCAGGCAUGGUGCUGUGCACCUGUAGUCCCAGCUUCUCAGGAGGCUGAUGCAGGAGGAUUGCCUGAGCUGAAGAAUUUGAGGCUGCAGUGAGCU